UACGUAGGGGGCUAGCGUUGUCCGGAAUCAUUGGGCGUAAAGCGCGUGUAGGCGGUCCGGUAAGUCCGCUGUGAAAGUCGGGGGCUCAACCCUCGAAUGCCGGUGGAUACUGUCGGGCUUGAGUGCGGAAGAGGCGAGUGGAAUUCCUGGUGUAGCGGUGAAAUGCGCAGAUAUCAGGAGGAACACCGAUUGCGAAGGCAGCUCGCUGGGACGUAACUGACGCUGAGACGCGAAAGCGUGGGGAGCAAACAGG
rnacentral:rRNA from 1 species